GACGAACGCUGGCGGCGUGCUUAACACAUGCAAGUCGAACGGAAAGGCCCUGCUUUUGUGGGGCGCUCGAGUGGUGAACGGGUGAGUAACACGUGAGUAACCCGCCCUUGACUUUGGGAUAACUUCAGGAAACUGGGGCUAAUACCGGAUAGGAGCUCUUGCUGCAUGGUGGGGGUUGGAAAGUUUCGGCGGUUGGGGAUGGACUCGCGGCUUAUUAGCUUGUUGGUGGGGUAGUGGCUUACCAAGGCUUUGACGGGUAGCCGGCCUGAGAGGGUGACCGGCCACAUUGGGACUGAGAUACGGCCCAGACUCCUACGGGAGGCAGCAGUGGGGAAUAUUGCACAAUGGGCGGAAGCCUGAUGCAGCAACGCCGCGUGCGGGAUGACGGCCUUCGGGUUGUGAACCGCUUUCGCCUGUGACGAGGCGUGAGUGACGGUAAUGGGUAAAGAAGCACCGGCUAACUACGUG
rnacentral:rRNA from 1 species